CCCACACACCGCCCCCUGCAGCUUGGUGUCACAGCUGGCGGUGCGCCAGCUUCCGUCCACAUCCAGUGGAUCUGACUUUGAGAAUGGUUAGUGACCUGUCACACCACAUGCCCCCAGCGUCUCCAGAGCAGGAAGCGACAACCAGGUGGAUGACAGCAGAUGCGACAGCCUAGCAUUUUGACGCUUGGCAAACAGUCCAGGAAUCAACCCCAGGAUCUGAAGAAUGCUAGGCCAGCUACGCAGGUCUCAUUACUGCCACCUUCAGGUAAGAAAACAGAGGCCAGAGACACGCCCCUUACUUGUCCAAGGCCAUGCAGCCUGUGAGGAGCAGAGUCGAAUUCAAGUGCAGGUCUAUCUGCCUGUGUUUGCUCAGCCCUGACACCUCUAGCUUGGUGACACAGCUGGCCACUCACACCCGUGCCCCUCUCACACCUGCCGCCCACUAGCUCUCCCACCUGAAGCGGCCAUCAUUCUCCGAGGUGUGCAGGCCGAUCCACCAGUGCUGCCCGGGGCCUGAGGAGAACUGGUGAAGGAGGCAGGCAGGGGAGGGUUAGUGGCUUCCCCGCCCGCAGCCUCUGCCCCUUCCCAGCCGGGAACCACCUGCUGCCUCUCACGCCCACCUUCUGCAGGUUCUGCCCCAGGAAGUCCAGCUCUGCCUGGCUGUGGAUGGAGGCCAGCUCUGCCUGGAACCACGUGCAGAUGCGCUGGGCCUGCGUCCACGAGGAAUGGUGCUCAAAGAACUUGUACUCUGCCUCCUGGAAGCGGAGCCACUCCGGCCGGCCUGUGGGAGCAGGUGCCAGGCCACUAGACAGGCCCUUGAAAGCUCCGGGCUUGGUCAGCGCCAGAGCAUGCAACAAGGGAUCUUGCAGAUCCAGUCCAGCUGCGUCUGGCACUCCACAGCCACCCACUGCAGGGAGGCCAGGUCCAGCACCGCACAGCCUCGGACGUCAUCGUCGUCAUGCCGGCUCCGGUCAAAAUUGUGGUAGGAAAACUGGAAAGCGAGAUAAAGACAGAAAGAGGGACCUCCAACAGGCAACCAAGAAGCCGGGCCUGAACUGAGGACUGCCAGGCCGGGUGAACAUCCUUCUCCAUCACCUGAUUACUCUUAACCUACUGGCCAGAAAUCCCUGCCCACGCCAGGCCCUGCCACGCCCCAGCGGGUGCCCACCCAGGACCAAGCCCUACCCACCUCCCCGUCCUGCCUCCUCCACGGCUCCUCACCCCUAGACCAUCGCUCCAGCGCCAGCUCUGACCCUCUCUCGGGUCCCGGCGGUUCAGGCCAAUCCAAAACCAGUGCUGCUCGUGGCUCUCCGGCUCGGAUUCACUUGGGUGGGGACAGAAGAGAGAGGAGGUGAGAGUGGCCGGAGUCCAGCACACAGCCGCUGGCUGUCGCUAAGCAGCCUGCAGCCUCUCCGUCCACGCUGCAAACCGCUGUGCCAAAGCACUGCGGGGGGCUUGGUGUUUGCUUGUUUGGUUUUUGAAAGUUCCCUCCCUAGAGACAAGGUGAGCCAGAGCAGGUGGCCCUGGACUACCUUCCGGGAUACAGGGCCCAGCAAGGCGGCUGCCUAUUUUUCCCUCCUAUGGGGGCGGGAGAAAUUAGAGACACUGGGGCUCUCAAAAACACCGGGGUUCAAAUCGUGCUUUGUCACGGACCCACUGCCACACCGGACCAACAGUCUAACUCCUGAGUACGACCUGAACAUGAGGUCACUGAGCGAGUACGGGCACAGGGUGCGGGGAAGGGGGUGGGCUGCAAGCCGCACCCACGUGAUGAGCCGAGAAAAAAGCGGUGAGCAGCACGGGCUGCUGUAAUUACUAGUCAAGUGAUAAAAGCCCGACUGCUGGGAGGAAGUAGCUCUGAAAUUAAAUCUCAGGGCG